NNNNNNNNNNNNNNNNNNNNNNNNNNNNNNNNNNNNNNNNNNNNNNUUUUUUUUUUUUUUUUUUUUUUUUUUUUUUUUUUUUUUUUUUUUUACCCCUUUGCAGGAAAAAAAAAGCUUGAGUACAAUACGGAGUUCAGGUUGUUUCUUAUAAGUGACACAAAUGAUAGAUAUCUUGAAGACAUCGAAAAUUAUGUUAAUAUAAUUGACUUCCAGAUGGAUAAAGUAAUGGUUAUAAGCAAUGUUAUAGACAUUAUAUUAAGACGAGAGGAUGAAAAGAGAUUAAUUAAUUUUAAAACAAAAAUAAAAAAUUAUUAUGAAACAAAACAAACAUUAAAGUUUUUAAAUGAUGCGAUGGUAUAUGAAUUGUGUACGUUUAAUAGUAAGGGUGAAGGUUUUAGUAUGACAACAGAUGUUAAUACAAGCGGUAGUAUUACGAGCACAAAUGUUGAUAGAACUAAGACUGGUAGUAGUAAUACUACUACUGAUGCCACAAUUCAUUAUAAUGAUACCACUAAUCUUAUAAACAUUAUAAAUAACAACAUCUUAAAAAAAAUUGAAAUAAAAAAGAUGCUAAAAGAGUAUAAAAACGAAGUGAAUAAAAUAAAAUCUUCUUGUGAAAAUAUAAAACAUUUAGGGUUACGAUUUUAUAGUAUAUAUAAAGUUGUAAAUAAACUAACCCAAAUAAAUGCUUAUAACAAUUUAAACUUUAAUUAUUUAUUAAACAUAUUAAAUAAUAUAAUAAAAAAUAUGAACAAAAAAAUACUAAUAUGUAAUUUUAACCAAUUAAUAAAAAAAUUUACUCAUAAUUGUUUUGUUUUUUUAUUAAAUACGAUAAGCACAAAAAACAAGCUAUUUUUUUGUUUCUUAUUUUAUACAACAUUAUUAUAUGAAGAAUUAAAAUUAAAGAAUGAACAUGAGUCUAUGCAAAUAGGUAAAAAAAAAAAAUAUUACUCUUUGUUUGUUCGGCUUGCGGUAGGUGUUGAGGUAGAUGGUUGUGUCAGUGAAUGUAAUGGUGAGUGUAAGAGUGGAUAUAAAGAUAAAUGUACGAACGAAUGUACAAAACCUCAGAAAUUAAAUCAAAUCGAAUGGUUGAGCGCUAGAAAACAAAAGCAAUUACUAUAUGUACAAAAGAACAUACCAAUUUUUAAAAAACUGAUUGAAGACAUGGAA
rnacentral:lncRNA from 1 species